rnacentral:rRNA from 1 species
UUCCGGUUGAUCCUGCCGGACCCGACCUGCUAUUUGGGUGAGAAUAAGCCAUGCGAGUUGAAUGGGAAUACCUAAAUUUUCCAUGGCAAACUGCUCAGUAACACCAUGAUCAACUUACCCUAUAGAGAAAAAUAACCCCGGGAAACUGAGGAUAAUGUUUCAUAGUUGAAAAGGCUUGGAAAAGUUUUUCAAUCAAAAGGAUAAAAAAAAUGGUUUUUAUCCGCUAUAGGAUAGGAUCGUGCUCGAUUAUGGUUGUUGGUGAGGUAAUGGCUCACCAAGCCGAUAAUCGAUAGGGGCCGUGAGAGCGGGAGCCCCGAGAUGGGUACUGAGACAACGACCCAGGCCUUACGAGGCGCAGCAGGCGCGAAACCUCCGCAAUACACGAAAGUGUGACGGGGUUACCCAAAGUGUUCAGUUUUGAACUGUGGUAGGUGAGUAAUGUCCCCUACUAGAAAGGAGAGGGCAAGGCUGGUGCCAGCCGCCGCGGUAAAACCAGCUCUUCAAGUGGUCGGGAUAAUUAUUGGGCUUAAAGUGUCCAUAGCCGGUUUAGUAAGUUCCUGGUAAAAUCGGGUAGCUUAACUAUCUGUAUGCUAGGAAUACUGCUAAACUAGAGGGCGGGAGAGGUCUGAGGUACUACAGGGGUAGGGGUGAAAUCUUAUAAUCCUUGUAGGACCACCAGUGGCGAAGGCGUCAGACUGGAACGUGCCUGACGGUGAGGGACGAAAGCCAGGGGAGCGAACCGGAUUAGAUACCCGGGUAGUCCUGGCCGUAAACGAUGCAUACUAGGUGAUGGCAUGGCCAUGAGCCUUGUCAGUGCCGUAGGGAAACCGUUAAGUAUGCCGCCUGGGAAGUACGGUCGCAAGGCUAAAACUUAUAGGAAUUGGCGGGGGAGCACCACAAGGGGUGAAGCCUGCGGUUCAAUUGGAAUCAACGCCGGU